CGAAUGAGAGCCUUCUGUGCUCUGAGCACCAACCCUUACCUAGGACGUGAAUGUGUAACUCUCGAUGCGAAAGCAAACCAUUCACUCCCCACAAUUGACCUGGGAGACCAUAAUUACCAGUAUUGUCUCUGUUUUACAAAUGAGAAAACUGACUCACUCGUUGGUUGUGGCGAAUUGAGGUCAAUGUAUUCAGCAAAGCAGUGCACAUUUCCAGGUAUAGCCUCAAAAUGUCAGACUUGUUUGCAGGUUGGAAGAGCAGAGGAAUGUGCCUAUUUUAGGAAGUAGAAGACACCCCUCUACAAGUUAGGGGAGAAGUAUAAUGGUCUCAAGUCGACUUGGGACCUUAAUGGAACGUGAUCACAAUCCGAGAUCUGAGGCCUAGAAGCAGCUGCCACCAAAGAGCUCCUGUUGGAACCACUGAUGUGGGAACAGGUAGGCCACACUGUCAUGGAGGGGACGCAGGGCAGCCAGCUACAGGGGGACCUCCGUGCCGGGGUCACCGGGAGGCCAAGAUCGACAGCACAGAACCUCUCGCGAUGGAAGCCAGGAGUGUCAUCCAGCACGGUCUUCUCCAUCUGGGACCACAGAGAGGUUUUCCCACCAGGCACCUUUCUUGUCCUGACGCCCUUGCCUUAUGACAACGCUCUUCCUCCUCUCGUUGCCUGGUUGGUGUUUCAAGUGUGGGAGCCCAGAACUGAGAGCAUAAUGGUUGCCUUUGCAAGGAUUAGGACAGUCCCGUGAAUGGCAGUCAUAGAGAUCCAUUUGGAAGGAGGAAAAGAAUGUAAGAGCAUUUUGUCCGGUCUCCUAGAAAGCUCGGGGCUAUGUUGCUGACAAGCCGUGGGAAGUGAGAGGUAAGCGAGGUCUCCACGCCCCAACUCCAGGGCAGCUUGUACCCACGAUGACACGCAGGAGGCCUGCACCGUUGACUCCCAACAAUAAAUGCUUCACCUCGGGAAAUGGCAUCGUUGCCAUUUGAGCAGCUUUGCUGCAUCAUCAGGAGCAUCUUUCCAGUGCUAACUGUGGGUUAUGAUGUGUUUCUGUGGCAGGUCCAGAAACAGUCACUUAAGCAGGUCACAGUCUGAGCACAGAAGGUGUCACAUCUAACCCAAGACCGGUCUUCACUUUCCUGCUCACUGAUGGACACGGGUCACUUUUUAAGCUAUUAGGUUAAGAUCUUCACACUCAAUCAUUCUAUCAGUCACACGGGUCAUAUAUAUCUGGAUAUGUGUAUUUUUAUAAUCUUUAGGGGUGUCUUCUUUUACCUAGUCUUUGGAGAUGCUACCCUGGGUCAGGUGCCCAGGUGUCUUAUUUCUGGCCCUAUUAUUGGAGUCAUGGAGUUACAUUUUGAUAAUCUUUCUUUUUUAAGGAAGAGACUUUUUAGUCUACACUUACAUUUGGGACAGUAUCUCACACAGACGACGUGAGUGAGAAAACACAUUUUAUGCUUAUCUGGAAUGUUGACCAAAGUCCCCACUGCAAACUCAGAAAAAUGGCCAUGUGUCUACAAACAGCUGCUCCAGAGUGUGUGCUACCCCGAGUGCACCUUCGCGCCUGCGAGCCCCUCCAGUGGGCUUCCGCACCUGCAAGCACCCCAAGUGCGCCUCUGCAUCUGCAAGUCCUGGAACCGGAGCCCCCGAGUGCGCCUCCACGUCCACGAGUCCCCGAUCCCAACGCUCCGGCUCCCCCUGCGCAGGUGAUAUGCAGGCCCUGGAAUUACGGAUGCGGGAACUAUUGCCUGCAACAUGGAGCACUCCAGAUGGAGAGCAGUCUGUCCCAAAUAUUUCUUGUGUGGGAGGGGGAAGCUCCAAUUGUGCAAGUGUAAACAAA